UUUUAUGGAGAGUUUGAUCCUGGCUCAGGACGAACGCUGGCGGCGUGCCUAAUACAUGCAAGUCGAGCGGACUGAUGGGAGCUUGCUCCCUGAUGUUAGCGGCGGACGGGUGAGUAACACGUGGGCAACCUACCUGUAAGACUGGGAUAACUC
rnacentral:rRNA from 1 species